AUGACCAAAGUGAAAGCAUAUUUUAAAAGAAAAUUGUAUAUUUCUCACUAGAAAUGUUGUCAAAAUAAAAAUUAGUCCUCAAAAUAUCUUGUUUUAUGGGAUAUUCCACCGAAAAAUGAACGAGCAUCCACCAUGUUUUUUGUUCACGGCAGGCAAAACCUCCAAAGUCACGUGAUCCUGAGAAGGCUCGUAGAAAAUGAAUAGAAAAAUGAAAUGUAUCCGCCUCACAGUUUAGGGGGCGUUUUUGUAAAACUCUCACGCAUUUCCAUGUGGACAAAUGUAGCUACUACACAUUUUAGGAUGAGACCGGGUUGCCCUGCGUUGUCUGAAAUCAAGUCUGCUUUUCCAAAGGCAGAUCUUUCUGCUAAAAAGGAGAAAUAUGCUUCUGUAAUUACAUCUCUUGUGACGGAAUUCAACCAGCGUUUUCAAGAUUUUUCUGUCAUUGAAAAACAAAUCAAGUAGUUCUCGACCCCCUUCCUGGUGGAUGCAGAAGAAGUGGAGGAGAGUCUGCAGUUAGAGCUGAUUGAAAUGCAAUGUGAUGAUUCUCUGAAGAGUCAAUAUCAGCUUCUCUCCCUCCCUGACGUCUAUCAGAGUUUGGAUCAUGCCAAGUUUCCUCUGAUGAGACGCCACGGAAAAAGAAUGAUCAGCCUGUUCGGCUCAACAUACAUAUGUGAACAAACAUUUUCUCUGUUAAAUAAGAACAAAAGCAGACUGAGGUCCAGAAUGACAGAUAGCCAUCUCUGUGAAGUCCUUCGUAUCUCAACCACCAACCCGACAUCCCAGCCAUCCUUCAAUCCAAAGCACAGCAUCACUGCUUCCACUGAGAGGAAUGUUCUCCACAUUAUUGCUGAAAUACAUAGACAGAGCUGCAGAAAGAAGGGGGAAAUAUGGCGUCACUGAACCUCUUGCACCAAAAAGGAAAUUCUAUCAAGCUUCAGCUCCAGUUGUAAACUACGAACAGCCCACAAAAGAUGGCUUGACGAGCAACAAUAUUGGGAGUAAAAUGUUACAGCUGGCAGGAAGGCAGGGGUUUGGGGCGCCACCAACAGGGCAUCAUGACUUCCAUCGCGGCUUCAUAGAGCAAAGGGCACAGGCUUAGGAAGUAAAGGAAGUUCCUAUGAGCUGUCUCCGUCUGACACAAGGAUGAAGCUCUUUAAAUUAUGUGUGUUUAAUGUUAAAAUUGUCCUCGUUGGUCUGCUCAUAAACCCGUUCUGAGUGAAUGUUUCAUUUUGACGUUCAUUUGUUUUAUGAGGCACAGAUCAGCAUCACUGCUCCCACUGAGAGCAAUGUUCUUCACAUUAUAGGUGAGUUAGAAAUACACAGUAAUCAUGUGUCAAUAUGUCACCUCUUGUGUGCGGCCCGGACCUUUGCUCAAUUUUCUGUAUUUGGCACUCACCAAAAAAACUUUGGACACCGCUGGUCUACAAUUUGUAUUUGUCAAAUUGCACGUGUCUUUUGUCAUUUGUUUUUAAAGUUGUCUUCAACCCAUCCAUGUAUGUUUGUGAUUUACAUAUUUGAUUUGUCAGGCUCUUUCACGUCCGUCACGCCUACAGGCAUAAAGACAGGAAAAUCCGUAAAGAAAGAGAAAGAAUUUGAGUAAUGUGGCUUAAAUUCAUUGAGAGGCAUCACACUUUUAAAUGUUGCUAAUUUUCAUGGGAGCUGUGUAGAAGUUAAUGACAAUAUAAACAGCAUAUUUUCAGAACCCAAAAGGAUUUGUUUCACGCAAAUAGUUUUGACAUUUAAAUGAGUUAGAUUAUCCUACAUUACCCAUAAUGCCUAUCGCCCGGAAGAAGCAGUGGACGGUUCCAGAUACAAACAUCCCUGAAUAUUAGCGGACUGAGUUAGACUGGGUGGCUGUUGGUCGUUCCUAAGUUCCAGAGUUCCUUGAACGCAUCAUGCAGAGAGGGGUUGGCUCUCAGUUAGUCGUUCAGCGUUCUGGAGAGAUUGAGAGUUGCUGCAUGUUGUACGCCGUUGGUUACGGCCUACAGUAGCCAAAAUAAAAACCAUAAAAAGGAUUUAGUCUCCGUGCCCAAGUCCUGAAAAACAGGCCCACACCAUAAUUCCUUCUCCACCAAAAUUUCUCACUCUGGAAUACACAGAGCUCCUGAGAGCGGCCCAUUCUUUCACAGGUGUUUGUAAAAACAGUCUGCAUGCCAAAGUGUUUGAUUUUAUGCACCUGUG